rnacentral:rRNA from 1 species
GACGAACGCUGGCGGCGUGCUUAACACAUGCAAGUCGAACGGAAAGGCCCUGCUUUUGUGGGGUGCUCGAGUGGCGAACGGGUGAGUAACACGUGAGUAACCUGCCCUUGUCUUUGGGAUAACUUCAGGAAACUGGGGCUCAUACCGGAUAGGAGCUCCUGCUGCAUGGUGGGGGUUGGAAAGUUUCGGCGGUUGGGGAUGGACUCGCGGCUUAUGAGCUUGUUGGUGGGGUAGUGGCUUACCAAGGCUAUGACGGGUAGCCGGCCUGAGAGGGUGACCGGCCACAUGGGGACUGAGAUACGGCCCAGACUCCUACGGGAGGCAGCAGGGGGGAAUAUUGCACAAUGGGCGGAAGCCUGAUGCAGCAACGCCGCGUGCGGGAUGACGGCCUUCGGGUUGUAAACCGCUUUCGCCUGUGACGAAGCGUGAGUGACGGUAAUGGGUAAAGAAGCACCGGCUAACUACGUG